CAAGAGAAACUGAAUAUUCCUUCCACUCCCUUAUCUCUGAUAACAUAUUCUUCCAAUUCACCUGAAAGAGUUUAAUACCCUCAUAAAAUGUGCAACAUUCAUUAAAUUUCUGAAACUCAUACAUCUCCUCAGAGCCCACUACUGUCAUCCCCUGGCUUAUCCACUCUAUCACACGUGUCCAUAUGCACAUGUCCGCUCACACAUUCAUAAACAAGCCUCCGUCACUAAGCCUCUUACAAUCAGUGCGCUUGCAUGUGAGUGUGUGUUGUUAUUUGAGGCCAGAAAUGCAUGAUUGGGCUGCUGGGCCCGAAAUGGAUGGCACGCACAAUUACCGGCAAAGCUCCAGAUCCUAACCUCUCACUCAGUCCUCCACUUUGUCCAUACAGCUCACUAAGUCUAAAAACAGAACCCUGUCUCCAUGAAGCCAAAAUGCUGUGCUUAGUUUGCCAUUUUAAACUGUGGCAAUUAAGUUACACCCAUUUUCCCCGAUUUGAGAUGAAUAAUUGUCUUCCACAAUCUGGGUCUCUAAUGCAGCUGUAGUUUCUGUUUGCCUUGGUAGGAGGGUGGGAUCCUCGGAGCAGAGGAAAGUUAAUAGCUAGUUGGUUGAUCACCAUCUGUUUCAGCUGACUUUAGCUCAUCAAAGGAACACACACUGAAAAUGUUCUCAUUAUUGGGAUACAAGAUUGUGUCAGCAGAUAUUAGAACUCUAACAAUUGUUUCAGCUGAACAAGAGGAGCCACAUCCACCGAUUCAUCUGGGCCGUGCCCAUCGGCAUCAUUUGCUACAACUUAUCUAUCAACUGUAGCUCCACCAAUAGCAGAGAACGCUUUUGUAUCGGCUUUUGUAUCUGCUGACAGACAUACAGAUGAUGUGUUUCUGUGCUUUCCAGGUUUUGUCUUCGUUCCAAAACUUGUCUUCAGACUUCAAACUCACUAACAGCUGUUCUGUCGAAUCUGCUGAUGAGGCAGAGUGGUACAGCAUCUGGCAUUCUCAGUACAUAUGUACUUUCUGGAAAGCGGUCUAUUAUGAAAUCUGCCCUCUUCGGAUAAGGAGCCAAUACUCACCCAGGAGACGUUCUUUGCCUUCAGCAAUUUGGACAUGGCCCGCAGGUGGAAAGGCAGAGAACCCGACUCCCGACAGACUCAGUCACAUGCAAAGACGCCCAGACUGCAUUUAGCAGCUGUGGCAACAUCCUCCAUCCUCCACUGUCUGCCCCCUUUGCCAACAAACCUCCCCAGAUUUACAUCUGCCUGAAGCCUCGGCUGCCCAUCAGACCCAGUGAAACGUUCUGCAAGGAGGAGGAGGAGGAAGAGGAGGAAGAGUGGGAGCCAAAGAGAAACAAAGACGAGCUCCAGAAGUAGCUGUCAGAGGCAGAAAUAGAACUUGCAUAAAGUUCCCUCCGUCUUCUGCCUGAAUCAUCCUCUUCUUCCUCCUUGUUGAUGGUCACCUGAUCACCCUUAAAUGACUAACAUCCGUGAGAAUAUGAAGGUAAACGUCUAUCUGAAGCACGGCUUAAAAUGUUAUGAGAAAAAAACAAAACAAAACAAAAAAACAACAACCUGCAAACAGUCAACUUUGCCCUCCUAACAUCUGGGGGGAAAGAGAUGAAGGAAGAAGAACAGUGAGGAAGAGCGAUGAUGGGAAACUGAGUAAGGUGAAAUCAACCAGUUGGAAAAGAGCACAGCAGGUUGGAGGGCAGGGUGCUGAUCUCCAGCUUUAGAUUAAAGAAAAACAUUGUUUUCUCUCUAAUGUCUUGUUUCCAUUCCAUACUAUGUCAAACAGAGAACAACAGGGGGGAGGAUGAACCUAUUCAGCCUCCAUGCUUCUGUCCCUGCCUGUGUUAUCUUGUGCCGUGAUUGUAAUCUGGCCGAUGAGCCUCUGAUUGGUCAGGCAGGGAAAGAGAAGGAUUGGUAGAGUCAGAGAUUAAUGGAAUUAUACACGAUCGCCUGUUUUUCCAGACUUAAAAUCACAUUCAAAUUGAGCCUUUUCUGGAGCGUUAGUGACAAAACAUGAUGUGAGCAACUCUGCAGCGAACUUUGCACAAAAAGGAAGAACAUUUAUGUCUGGGCAAUAAUUUUCCUCUGGCAAUAUAUCUUGCUUUGUUAUUUUAUUCCCUUUAAAUUGUGACACAUUUGUAAAAAAAUUAUAUCGGCUUGUUAAGCAUCAUAGUUAUGGGUUUCCUCCCAUAAAAAAACAAAACAAAACAAAAAAAAACUUGUCAAAUUCACCAUCAUCUGGGUCUCAGCGUUCAUUCUACAACCGCUACAUCAUGACAAAAGCGAAAUUUAACAACAAAAAAUUUCUCUUUUCUAGCAGUCGUUGUACAGCACAUACAGCAGUAAAACAAGCUGACCAAACAUGCUGGAGCUCCUCUUGGGUUGCUAUGUAACAGGCUGGGUUACCUUGGGCUGGCUAGGUAACGGAACAGCGUCCACUGACUGUGACUUAGUUAUAAGGAAGUUUUUCUAACAGCUGGUUUUUCAGAUACCAAAAAACAUGAACUUAUUACCAGAAAAAAUGUUGGGGAGUUUUGUAAGCUCUCUGACUGUUUCUAUGAGCAGUAGAGACUCAAAUGGAAGCAUAGAGUGACGUGUGACUCAUAAAUAUUGGCACAUAAGUAUUUCUGAAGGAUUAUAAAGUAGCACAAAUUGGUAAUAAAUCUGAACUGUUUAACCUUUACUGAGCUCAACCUUUUGUGUUGGGUUUCCAGUAACAGUGCUCUCGCUUAGACUACUACACAAUGCAGAGCACAAUUCAAUAAAAUAUGAUUUUCUGUUUGAAACAAUUGAUGCUUUUAUAUUCAACAGCCUUUACCAAACUAUGCUCACCUACGUACACAUUCAUCAAUGAGUCUUCAUCAAAUGUGAGCAGCAGGUAUCAUUUGUUGUUGCGACGCUGCUUUUAUUCGACCUGAUUUUCUAAGCUCCUUUUUUUUUUCUGGCUUGGUGCUGAGGUGGGCACUCAUGCUAUGCAGCAGUUACAGCGCGCGGUAAUCUGCAAGGCUUUAAGCUGACAGUCGAGAGAGUGCCGAGGGCCAACAGUAAGCCAGCUUCAUGCGGGGGAAAAUAUGGCGACGAUAAGGUUUUCUGCAGUUGACGCCAUCACAAAAUGCGCAGCUCUAAUAAACAUCAUAAUAUCAGCAUUAACAGGAAUUACCAAAAGAAGUGGAGGCACAUGCAAAACUCGUGCAGUAAGUAAAGAUGAGUUGGAGGAGAAAGUUAGAGAGGAAAAGUAGAAAAGGGAUCAGAGUCAGA